rnacentral:rRNA from 1 species
UACGUAGGGGGCAAGCGUUGUCCGGAAUCAUUGGGCGUAAAGAGCGUGUAGGCGGCCAGAUAAGUCCGCUGUGAAAACUCGAGGCUCAACUUCGAGCUGUCGGCGGAAACUAUCUGGCUAGAGUCCGGAAGAGGAGAGUGGAAUUCCUGGUGUAGCGGUGAAAUGCGCAGAUAUCAGGAGGAACACCGGUGGCGAAGGCGGGUCUCUGGGCAGUAACUGACGCUGAGGAGCGAAAGCGUGGGGAGCGAACAGG